rnacentral:rRNA from 1 species
CUCAGUUCGGAUCGGAGUCUGCAACCCGACUCCGUGAAGCUGGAUUCGCUAGUAAUCGCGCAUCAGCCAUGGCGCGGUGAAUACGUUCCCGGGCCUUGUACACACCGCCCGUCAAGCCAUGGGAGCCGGGGGUGCCUGAAGUUCGUGACCGCAAGGAGCGACCUAGGGCAAAACUGGUGACUGGGGCUAAGUCGUAACAAGGUAGC